rnacentral:rRNA from 1 species
UACGUAGGGUGCAAGCGUUAAUCGGAAUUACUGGGCGUAAAGCGUGCGCAGGCGGCUUUGCAAGACAGAUGUGAAAUCCCCGGGCUCAACCUGGGAACUGCAUUUGUGACUGCAUGGCUAGAGUACGGUAGAGGGGGAUGGAAUUCCGCGUGUAGCAGUGAAAUGCGUAGAUAUGCGGAGGAACACCGAUGGCGAAGGCAAUCCCCUGGACCUGUACUGACGCUCAUGGCACGAAAGCGUGGGGAGCGAACAGG